rnacentral:rRNA from 1 species
UACGAAGGGGGCUAGCGUUGUUCGGAAUCACUGGGCGUAAAGCGCACGUAGGCGGACUUUCAAGUCAGGGGUGAAAUCCCGGGGCUCAACCUCGGAAUUGCCUUUGAUACUGUAGGUCUCGAGUCCGGAAGAGGUGGGUGGAAUUCCUAGUGUAGAGGUGAAAUUCGUAGAUAUUAGGAAGAACGCCUGUGGCGAAAGCGGAGCACUGGGCCCGUCCUGACGCUAAGACGCGAAAGCGUGGGUAGCAAACGGG